ACGAUAGAAACAUGUAUUGGUUCAUGUACUUGCUUUGGGUGUGAGAGUUUGUUAGUUCGAAUCUAACCUAUCCGA
rnacentral:tRNA from 15 species